UUGCAGUUAAAACGCUCGUAGUCGGAUUUCGGGGCGGGCCGACCGGUCUGCCGAUGGGUAUGCACUGGCCGGCGCGUCCUUCCACCCGGAGACCGCGCCUACUCUUAACUGAGCGGGCGCGGGAGACGGGUCUUUUACUUUGAAAAAAUCAGAGUGUUUCAAGCAGGCAGUCGCUCUUGCAUGGAUUAGCAUGGGAUAAUGAAAUAGGACUCUGGUGCUAUUUUGUUGGUUUCGAACACCGGAGUAAUGAUUAACAGGGACAGUCAGGGGCACUCGUAUUCCGCCGAGAGAGGUGAAAUUCUCAGACCAGCGGAAGACGAACCACUGCGAAAGCAUUUGCCAGGGAUGUUUUCACUGAUCAAGAACGAAAGUUAGGGGAUCGGAGACGAUCAGAUACCGUCGUAGUCUUAACCAUAAACCAUGCCGACUAGGGAUUGGAGGAUGUUCCAUUUGUGACUCCUUCAGCACCUUUCGGGAAACUAAAGUCUUUGGGUUCCGGGGGGAGUAUGGUCGCAAGGCUGAAAACUUAAAGGAAUUGACGGAAGGGCCCCACCAGGAGUGGAGCCUGCGGCU
rnacentral:rRNA from 1 species